CGGAGGAUCCAAGCGUUAUCCGGAAUCAUUGGGUUUAAAGGGUCCGUAGGCGGUUUGGUAAGUCAGUGGUGAAAGCCCAUCGCUCAACGAUGGAACGGCCAUUGAUACUGCCAGACUUGAAUUACUGGGAAGUAACUAGAAUAUGUAGUGUAGCGGUGAAAUGCUUAGAUAUUACAUGGAAUACCAAUUGCGAAGGCAGGUUACUACCGGUGUAUUGACGCUGAUGGACGAAAGCGUGGGGAGCGAACAGGAUUAGAUACCCUGGUAGUCCACGCCGUAAACGAUGGAUACUAGCUGUUCGGGGCAACCUGAGUGGCUAAGCGAAAGUGAUAAGUAUCCCCCCUGGGGAGUACGUUCGCAAGAAUG
rnacentral:rRNA from 1 species